GCCAGCAUAGCUCAGCGGUAGAGCGUCCGUUUCAUAAGCGGGUGGUCAGAGGUUCGAGUCCUCUUGCUGGCA
rnacentral:tRNA from 1 species